rnacentral:rRNA from 1 species
AUUGAACGCUGGCGGCAGGCUUAACACAUGCAAGUCGAGCGAGCGGCGGACGGGUGAGUAAUGUCUGGGAAACUGCCUGAUGGAGGGGGAUAACUACUGGAAACGGUAGCUAAUACCGCAUACCAUCAGAUGUGCCCAUAUGGGAUUAGCUAGUAGGUGGGGUAAUGGAUCGCCUAGGCGACGAUCCCUAGCUGGUCUGAGAGGAGGGCCAGCGACACAGAAACUUAGACACGUUCCAGCCUCAUACGGUAGGCAGCAGUGGGGAAUAUUGCACAAUGGGCGCAAGCCUGAUGCAGCCAUGCCGCGUGUGUGAAGAAGGCCUUCGGGUUGUAAAGCACUUUCAGCGAGGAGGCGUUACUCGCAGAAGAAGCACCGGCUAACUCCGUGCCAGCAGCCGCGGUAAUAC